rnacentral:rRNA from 1 species
CCUACGGGUGGCAGCAGUAGGGAAUCUUCCGCAAUGGACGAAAGUCUGACGGAGCAACGCCGCGUGAGUGAUGAAGGUUUUCGGAUCGUAAAGCUCUGUUGUUAGGGAAGAACAAGUACCGUUCGAAUAGGGCGGUACCUUGACGGUACCUAACCAGAAAGCCACGGCUAACUACGUGCCAGCAGCCGCGGUAAUACGUAGGUGGCAAGCGUUGUCCGGAAUUAUUGGGCGUAAAGGGCUCGCAGGCGGUUUCUUAAGUCUGAUGUGAAAGCCCCCGGCUCAACCGGGGAGGGUCAUUGGAAACUGGGGAACUUGAGUGCAGAAGAGGAGAGUGGAAUUCCACGUGUAGCGGUGAAAUGCGUAGAGAUGUGGAGGAACACCAGUGGCGAAGGCGACUCUCUGGUCUGUAACUGACGCUGAGGAGCGAAAGCGUGGGGAGCGAACAGGAUUAGAUACCCUAGUAGUC